GGCGUAUAAUUUGUCGUCGCCACCCAUAACAAUUUUGGUGCCGUGACUCGGAUAAGGUAACUUGGUUCGGAAUCUAAACUCUGGGGAGGCGCCCCAUCUUGGGAUGGCCCCGGAGUGGACGAUAUCCUUUCCAAGACCCUUACCUCCGAACCCUAAAUUUGGCAAGCAGGCAAAAGAACACUGCAGUACCCCGUAAUUUUUGUGCACAAAGAUCCGGGCGAAGACUCCAGGUUAAGGACUGUUUCUUGUUUUGCUUACUACAGAUACUGCAGUCCGGACUGCCGAAAGAGGGUGGACUCAUGCAAGCAGAAUCAAAGGACCAAUUCAGAGCUCACGUUGGGAGGCGAUUAGAGACCCUGACAGCUUGAAAAUUACGUUCCGAAGGAAAGCAGGUGAGUGAGACUGUCUUUUGUAACAACCCUAACUGUAUAUGUUAUCCCUUUGUAUGUUAUAGGUGUAAACUCUGUAGAAAAAAGUGGUGGGUCCAUUGCCCUUAUGGAUAUUCCCCUAGCGGUAUUUGCCA